ACAAGGUCUCACUUUGUCACCCAGGCUGGAGUGCAGUAGUGCAAUCAUGGUUCACUGCAACCUUGACAUCCUGGACUCAAGUGAUCCUCCUGCCUCAGCCUCCCAAGCAGCUGGGACUACAGGAUCCAUUCCAGGAGUGCACCCAGGAUUGUAUUUAGUAAUCAUGUCUCCUUAUUCUCUUCUGAACACUUAUUUCAGUGAACUAGCCACAUUUCAAGUUCUCAGUGGCCAUAUGACCCAGGCUACCAUAUUGGAGAGCACAGCUCUAGACCUUUUUGAAACCAGUGCAGGGCAGGCCGGGAUCUUGGUGAGUGUGCACUUCAUUCUCCAGUCUCCAGUCUCUCAACUCUAUCAUCUUUGUUGUAUUUUUGUGACCGCAAUUCCUGAAAGUUCAUGUUGA
rnacentral:lncRNA from 1 species